rnacentral:rRNA from 1 species
GGGUUGUGAGGUUAAGCGACUAAGCGUACACGGUGGAUGCCCUGGCAGUCAGAGGCGAUGAAGGACGUGCUAAUCUGCGAUAAGCGCCGGUAAGGUGAUAUGAACCGUUAUAACCGGCGGUUUCCGAAUGGGGAAACCCAGUGUGACUCGUCACACUAUCAUUAACUGAAUCCAUAGGUUAAUGAGGCGAACCGGGGGAACUGAAACAUCUAAGUACCCCGAGGAAAAGAAAUCAACCGAGAUUCCCCCAGUAGCGGCGAGCGAACGGGGAGGAGCCCAGAGCCUGAAUCAGCAUGUGUGUUAGUGGAAGCGUCUGGAAAGGCGCGCGAUACAGGGUGACAGCCCCGUACACAAAAGCGCAUGUGCUGUGAGCUCGAUGAGUAGGGCGGGACACGUGGUAUCCUGUCUGAAUA